rnacentral:rRNA from 1 species
GGAUCAGCAGGUCGGUCGUGCCACUGGUAUGUACUGGUCUUGCUGAUUCCUCCCUCUUGACGAACCGUAAUGCCAUUCAUUUGGUGUUGCGGGAAAUCAGGACUGUUACUUUGAAAAAAUUAGAGUGUUUAAAGCAGGCAAUCGCUUGAAUACAUUAGCAUGGAAUAAUGAAAUAGGACGUUUGAUCCUAUUUUGUUGGUUUCUAGGAUUGACGUA